UAUAAUUUUAAAAUAUUUUAUCUCAUUUCAAUAGGAUUUUGGAAGGGUGAGAAAGAAAAUGUAUGGGAUGAGUCUGUCUUCCUAAACCAGAAUCCCACUCUGUCUUUAGCUUAAAAUAUUUCCCAUCACCAGGGUCUUAACUGUGUAAAUAAAACAUUGAUAUUCACAAAGAGAAAAAGACUGGGAGAAACAGAUGUUCCUAAAGGGAAAGUGUUAAUAUUUAAAUUCCACACAGCAUUUUAACCCUUGUAGAUUUGUAUCUCUACUAGGGCACACAAUUAUUUAUAUCAGAACAAAUAAACGUCAAGCACAUUGACUUGAGUAUAAACACAAGAACAUUGAGGUCAACAGGUUGCUUGGCAACUAAAGAAAGAAGCAAAACAGUAGCUUCACUCAGACACCGUAACCAUCAUCUCAUCCUGGAUGCAAUUGCUGUGGUUAACAGAAGAAAAGGAGAAGUAUCACUCUUUUUGCUGCACAAAUGUGAAAACUCACAAUAAAGAGAAGGGAGAAAGAGUGCCUGAAGGAUCAAUGUCGUACCCACACCUCUGACUUCUCACAUUUACAAUUGGUAGCAAGGAGGAACAGCAGCUGCCUUCAUUUGUAGCAGCCCUUCUCUGCAAGAUGAACAGCGGUCUUUUUAUUCUGCCACACUGAUUGAUUUCCUAAAGGUCUUUUGGUGACAGUGUCUCCCGGAAGUACAGAAAAACCCCAAUAAUUGAUAUGGGAUUAUAUAAAUAAAAAUAAGAGAUUUUCACACCUGAAAAACGUUUCUCUGCAUUAUCACGUCUACCCCAAAUCUUUGGUGUGCAGCUCCAGAAUAGGGUAACCACAUACAGAAAGCAGUGAGCUUCUACAUGCCUGGAGAUGGAGAAGGAUGGGCUAUGCCGUGUCCUAUAAAGUUAACUUAAUUACUGCAGGCCAGAUU
rnacentral:lncRNA from 1 species